UAGUCGACUCUUGUCCCCAGAACCUGACAGAUUUUUUAAAAGCAUCUGCAAGACUGGGAUGUGGUCAAGACAAGUAUAAUAAUAAUCAGUACUUAUGUCUACCUAACUCAGAGAAGACGGGUCUGGUAGAAUUAUGUCACAAUGGAAUCAUGGGGAUAUUGGAAAGAGGUUAUUGUUUGGAAACCACUGACGAUAUGCUGUCUAGAAGUAACUGCUCUUAUUUUCUUAUGGGCUGUCCAGAUACAGAAAUCCACAUCAACGAAAUGUACAAAUAUCCAGCCUGUUUAAGAAUUAAUACAGAACAUCACUGCUAUCUUGCUGAUCCAUUUUGUGGAAAUG